rnacentral:rRNA from 1 species
GUGGGGAAUAUUGGGCAAUGGGCGAAAGCCUGACCCAGCAACGCCGCGUGAAGGAAGAAGGUUUUCGGAUCGUAAACUUCUAUCCUUGGUGAAGAUAAUGACGGUAGCCAAGAAGGAAGCCCCGGCUAACUACGUGCCAGCAGCCGCGGUAAUACGUAGGGGGCAAGCGUUGUCCGGAAUGAUUGGGCGUAAAGGGCGCGUAGGCGGCCCGGUAAGUCUGAAGUGAAAGUCCUGCUUUUAAGGUGGGAAUUGCUUUGGAUACUGUCGGGCUUGAGUGCAGGAGAGGUAAGCGGAAUUCCCGGUGUAGCGGUGAAAUGCGUAGAGAUCGGGAGGAACACCAGUGGCGAAGGCGGCUUACUGGACUGUAACUGACGCUGAGGCGCGAAAGUGUGGGGAGCAAACAGGAUUAGAAACCCGGGUAGUCC